CACACGCUGUUGUGUAAGGAGCGCAACUCCACAUUCAGCGCAUGCGCACUGAAAUCAAGCAAACCUGACCCGCUUUGAAUAAAAAACGAGAACUUCGCGGAAUGAAAUUAAUCUGGAGUGGAGCACAUGGAUAUUUGAAAACGGGAGAAAACGAAUAACAGUUCCCGAAGACCGCAGCAGGAGUGGCGUUUAAAGGUAGUAUUAUUGUUCGGUGGUGCGAGUCAUGCAGGAGUGAAAUAAUCCACGCGCGUCAACUGCAUUUCUAUCACUGGAUUUGACCUGUUCCCAUAACAACAACACGCAGCACAUGACAGGAAUGAGAGGAGACAGCGACCAUGCCAUUAAAGCCACUUGGGUCCUCCAACUUUUCUGCAUCUCUCUCCUGACUUCCUUUGGGAAAGGAGAAGAUGGGUCCUGCCACGGAGCCUUUGAUUUAUACUUUGUUUUGGAUCGGUCGGGCAGUGUGUCUGACAACUGGAUGGAGAUCUAUGGAUUUGUGGAACAACUGACUAAUCGUUUUGUUAGCCCAAAAAUGAGAGUGUCCUUUAUAGUCUUUUCCUCUAGAGCAGAAGUAGUCUUGCCUCUCACUGGAGACAGGGCAGCUAUUGAUAAUGGUCUGCAAAGUUUGAGCAAGAUCAGACCUGCUGGUGAUACCUACAUGCAUGAGGGGUUAAUAAAGGUAUUAGAACAAAUGACUACCCAGGGCGCAAGAGCAUCCAGCAUCAUUAUUGCACUGACUGAUGGGAAGCUGGAGGUCUAUCUACAUGAUCUUGCUGUGAAAGAAGCUGAUCAGGCGAGACAGUAUGGUGCUCGGGUAUACUGUGUUGGCGUGAAGGACUUUGAUGCAAACCAGCUUACAGAUAUUGCAGACAGCAAAGAUCAAGUGUUCCCUGUUGUGGAUGGAUUUCAGGCCCUCAAAAACAUUGUAAAUUCGAUUUUAAAGAAAUCCUGUAUAGAGAUUUUUAACCUUGAGCCCUCCAGCAUUUGCGUGAAUGAAACUUUCAACAUUGUUUUGCGAGGAACGGGAUUCACGCAGGGAAGAACCUCAGAAGGUGUGGUCUGCACAUUAUCUGUCAAUCAACAGGAUCCUUACAAUGAGAAGCCGAGUGCAGUGAAGGAUAAUUACGUGCUGUGUCCAGCGCCAGUGUUGACCGAGGUUGGACACUCCCUCGAAGUGCUCAUUAGUCUGAAUAAUGGCCAGUCUUUCAUUUCAAGUCCAAUCACAAUAUAUGCAACUACAUGUUCUGAUGGGAUAGUGAUAGUGAUUGUCAUCCUGGUGCUGCUGGUGUUGUUGGGUUUAAUUGUGCUCUGGUGGUUCUGGCCUCUCUGCUGCAUGGUGGUAAUCAGAGAUCCACCCCCAUCUCGCCCUCCGCCUCCAUGCCCAAUACCUGAACCUGAGGAGGACCCUCUGCCGAAGAUGAAAUGGCCUACGGUGGAUGCGUCUUAUUAUGGUGGCAGAGGGCCUGGUGGCAUCACACAGAUGGAGGUUCGCUGGGGUGAGAAGGGCUCUACAGAGGAAGGGACCCGGUUAGCGAAAGCCAAAAAUGCUGUGGUCAAAAUGCCAGAGGAGGAGUUUGAAGAGCCUGUAAAAAGACCCCCACCCAGACCACCACCAAUAUAUCAGGCCCCAGUCCCAGACAAAUGGUACACGCCCAUUAAAGGGCGUUUUGAUGCUGUGUUAGCAUUGCUGCGUAGACAAUACGACAGAGUUGCUAUCAUGAGACCCACAGCAAAUGACAAGGGGCGCUGCAUCAAAUUCAACCGAGUUCAAACUCACUGACCAAACACGAUGUGUCCUUUACUUUAAAGUACGUUCAGACAAAAAGGAUUGAGGGAUCCACAUCUAUAUGGACACAGUGUGAAAAGCUGCAGCUACUUCUGAAUAAAACCUUUGAAUUCACUGCUUUUAUAACAAUUCAUUUUUUAAGGUUUUCUAGUUACAAACCAAUACAGUGCCUUCUUGUGAGUGUAUUAUGAAUGAGUUUGUCAAGAAAAGAAAAUGUAAAUUAUUAUUUUCAUUUCCAUAGUUAUUUCUUUCAUUAUUAGUAGUAAAGAUGUUAAUUAUCCAGUAAAUUCAUGGAGAUGUGUAUAUCAUUUUUUGUUCUUAUAUUUAUAGAUUACAUGUUUUGACACUGUUUGCAUAUAAAUCCAAUUAAAUAAAUGAUCGUAGUUCACUUGUUCACUUAAAAUUUUUGUGGAAACUGUAACACAUUACAGUUCAAACAUUAAAUAAUAU